UACAGAGGGUGCAAGCGUUAAUCGGAAUUACUGGGCGUAAAGCGCGCGUAGGUGGGUUCGUUAAGUUGGAUGUGAAAUCCCCGGGCUCAACCUGGGAACUGCAUUCAAAACUGUCGAGCUAGAGUAUGGUAGAGGGUGGUGGAAUUUCCUGUGUAGCGGUGAAAUGCGUAGAUAAUAGGAAGGAACACCAGUGGCGAAGGCGAACCACCUGGACUGAAUACUGACCACUGAGGUGCGAAAGCGUGGGGAGAAACAGG
rnacentral:rRNA from 1 species